AAAUAAGGCUGCGGCGGGAGCAGCGCCUUUUAUUUAAAAGAAAAAAAAAACCCAACUUAGUUCCCCAACUCUUCCCGCCCCCUCCCUCGCGGAGUGUGAUUGUUUUGUCUGGAAAAAAACCCAAAGUAUAACAAGGGGAGAACAGUUAGUGCUGAUUUCCAUUUGCAUAAAUUUUCAUAUAUUUUGGUGAAAAUAAUAGACGGGCGGAGAGCGGGGCUCGGCGGAGUCAGUGAGAGGGAAAAGAGGAGCGGGGAGAGCCGCGCCGGAGCCGAGAAGGCGCGGUGUGCCCCCGUCACCCCAUUAAAACCCCAAAUUAAAGCAAAAGCGUAUCUCCUCAGUGCCGCGAGUGCGCUCGGGAAAGCCCCAUUGGAGCCCUGGAAACCGUACAGCCCGUAAAUGUAGAGAGAUCCUGACGGGCUGGAGCAAAGAAAGUGAAAGAAAAAGAAAAAAGAAAAAAGAAAAGAAAAGAAAAAAGAAAGUAAGCAAAGAGAAAGCACGGCCCCAUGGGAAUAUGCACUUUUCACGUGAAGUGUCCGUGGGUUUUCAUUUGGAAAACGGAGUGAAGCCUCUGCGUGCACUGACCAUGCCGGGAAAGCUUUGAGAUAAUGACGUGAACAAAACUUUCCACCUCCCGCACUUGCGAGCGAUGUUCCACACGGGGAAAACACACGGCCAGGGCGCAGUUCCCAGCAGCAGAGCGGCCGCUGCCCCUCGACGGUCAGCGAACCCCCAGAGCGGGCGACUUUGGAGCCCAUAAAGCUCCUCAUCCCGCGAGCGGCGGCUUCUCCCCCAGGCUGCCUCUGCCCCCUGCGCCUGGCACCGGCCCGAGCCGGGGUGAG
rnacentral:lncRNA from 1 species